AACUAUAACGGUCCUAAGGUAGCGAAAUUCCUUGUCAGGUAAGUUCUGACCCGCAUGAAAGGCGUAAUGAUUUGGGCACUGUCUCAACAGCCCGCCCGGCGAAAUUGUAGUACCGGUGAAGAUGCCGGUUACCCGCGACAAGACGGAAAGACCCCAUGGAGCUUUACUGUAGCCUAAUAUUGGGUUUCGAUGUUGCAUGCACAGGAUAGAUGGGACACUGGGAAGCAAGUGCUUUGGCAUUUGUGGAGUGGCCGUUGGGAUACCAUCCUUGCGAUAUUGGAAUUCUAACCUGCGCCUUUGAAUCAAGGCGGGGGACAUUGUUAGGUGGGCAGUUUGACUGGGGCGGUCGCCUCCUAAAGAGUAACGGAGGCGUUCAAAGGUUCGCUCAGCUUGAACGGAAAUCAAGCAAAAGAGUGCAAACGCAGAAGCGAGCCUAACUGCGAGACUGACGGGUCGAGCAGUAACGAAAGUUGGAGUUAGUGAUCCGGUGGUAUGUGAGUGGAAAUGCCAUCGCUCAACGGAUAAAAGUUACCCUGGGGAUAACAGGCUGAUCUCCCCCAAGAGUCCACAUCGACGGGGAGGUUUGGCACCUCGAUGUCGGCUCAUCGCAUCCUGGGGCUGAAUUCGGUCCCAAGGGUUUGGCUGUUCGCCAAUUAAAGCGGUACGCGAGCUGGGUUCAGAACGUCGUGAGACAGUUCGGUCCCUAUCUGUCGUGGGCGUAGGAUAUUUGAAAGGAGCUGUCCCUAGUACGAGAGGACCGGGAUGGACGCACCUCUGGUGCACCAGUUGUCACGCCAGUGGCACAGCUGGGCAGCUAUGUGCGGAACGGAUAAACGCUGAAAGCAUCUAAGCGUGAAGCCGACCUUAAGAUAAGAUAUCCCAUCGUAAGAGUAAGACCCCUUAAAGACUAUGAGGUUGAUAGGCUUGAAGUGUACGCAUAGUGAUAUGUUUAGCUUGCAAGUACUAAUCGGUCGAGGGCUUUUCCUU
rnacentral:rRNA from 1 species